ACUCCUACGGGAGGCAGCAGUGGGGAAUAUUGCACAAUGGGGGGAAACCCUGAUGCAGCCAUGCCGCGUGUGUGAAGAAGGCCUUCGGGUUGUAAAGCACUUUCAGUAGGGAGGAAGGUAGUGUAGUUAACACCUGCAUUAUUUGACGUUACCUACAGAAGAAGCACCGGCUAACUCCGUGCCAGCAGCCGCGGUAAUACGGAGGGUGCGAGCGUUAAUCGGAAUUACUGGGCGUAAAGCGCAUGCAGGCGGCCUGUUAAGUCAGAUGUGAAAGCCCGGGGCUUAACCUCGGAAUUGCAUUUGAAACUGGCAGGCUAGAGUCUUGUAGAGGGGGGUAGAAUUUCAGGUGUAGCGGUGAAAUGCGUAGAGAUCUGAAGGAAUACCAGUGGCGAAGGCGGCCCCCUGGACAAAGACUGACGCUCAGAUGCGAAAGCGUGGGGAGCAAACAGGAUUAGAUACCCUGGUAGGAUAGCG
rnacentral:rRNA from 1 species